UUCAAGGGACUUAUAUGUGAAAGAAUAAUGGACAUGUAUGUAUACUUUAACAGGAAAAAUGGCUGCAUGUUGUCAUGGUUGCGGUUGUCAUUAUUUUUGUCGUAUUGAUUAUGUAAGUAGUCCCCCUUUUCGUAAUUUUGGUUUACCGUUUUUCGUUGUAUUUUACCCCUGUCUUUACAUUAUCGUAUACAUUGAGCAUGUUUCGUGCACACUUGCUCUUUUUAUAUAUCUUUUUUUUUUCAAGACGUGUUAUUGUCAGGUUAAUUGAAUAUUUGUUGCCAAUGCAUUUGUGACUGUAGCUAAGUAUUAAACGAUAUAUAUAUAUAUAUAUACUUUCUAUUUCUCUUUAUUUGAAGAUCAUAACUUAACUGAGUUAAUACACCAAAUAAUUAAAUUUCCCUCGCAUGAAUAUUUAUGUAUGUGUUUAUUUCUAUUAUAGAAACAAGCCAUUAUAUUAUGUUACUACAAUUCUUGUUCAAUUGAUAAUCUAACCAGUUCUUUGAAAAUCUUGGGAAUUCCCCUUUUGAAUUUGGUUGUCGUCUGAUUAACAGUUUUAUUUUUUUUCUUUAUAUCACAAAUGAACGAUUUAACCUUCGCUAAGAUACACAUAUACCUAUUGCAGAUCAGGAAUUAUAGUUAACAAAGUAUCUAUUAAGCGUGUACACUUAUUGGUAGAUCUGUUGUGAUUGACGAUUAAAUUGAUUUUUCUAUAAAUGCUUACAAAAAAUAUCCAUUUAAACCUAGUAUAAAUAAAUUUAUGCCAAGUUCAUUGUGGCUUCUAAGAUAUUUUAUUCACAUGAAUAUGUUGUACUAUGACAAGCAAAGUGGAAGCUGUAAAAGGGGCAUUAACUGUCAUAUUUCUGUUCACCUAAUUGAUUCAAAUUAAUAAACAGUUAACUAUAUAAAAAUGAGAGGAUGUGGUAUGAUUGCCAAUGAGACAACUAUCCGUCAAAGUUCAAAUGAAGUGGCUGAAAGCAAUUAUAGUCAACUGUAUACAAUCUUCAAUAAUGAGAAAAAAUGAAAACAAUUUAAUUGAGAAAACUAACGGCCUAAAUAUAAUAAUAUACGACUUGAACAAACGGCAACCAUGCACUGAUCAUGAACUACUUGCACCUGACUUUGGACAGACACAUACAAAAUGUGGUUUGGUGAAACGUAUUUAUGAGCGCUCAUCCCUACCCAAACCACGGACAGUGGUGUAACAGCACAACACAAAGAAAAAAAAAAACUAUUAAAAUCAAUUGCAGAGGGCUUAGCUAAUCUGAUCGAUACAAAGCAGAAAAACAUGAAACAAAAAAGCAGACCGGGCGUGGCAGGGUAUAUACCCAGCCUUCAUCCAUUAAUAAAUAGACAAUAAUAGUGCAUUGACUUGACAUAUCAACGACAUAAGGAUGAGGCUUAGAAACGGGGAUGCGGGCUGGCGAGCAUUUUCCCCGUUCGGGCCGAUCCUUAUAUCGUGAUAUGUCAAUCAUGCACUAUUAUUCUUAUACUGCAAUCUAAAAAAACAUUCAAUUGUUGUUUAUUGUGUUAAGUUACUUUUUGAUUUAAAUAUUGGGAAAAUCCCCUAAAAGCUCAUAUCACACAGACGAGAAAUAUAAACACGAUGAAAUUACAUCAAUGAUGACGAUUCGUUGCAGACUAAAAUAUCAACAAUAUACAAAACAUAAUGUUAUAGGUUGCAAACAAAAAAAUAUUAAUAAGUGAAAUAUGUUUUCCAAAAAUUGCAAAGAAACAAGUUUGAGCGUUAAACCAUCGUUGUUUACAUUGGAAACAGAAACAGGUUGAAGGUCUAUGAAUAAUUAAAUAUAAUUUCGACAAUUUCUAUUUAAAUUUCUGAGGAAAUAUAUCAGGUCAGUGACUGUAUAUGGCAUAGAAAUAUCAGUCAACGAUUUUGACUGCUCAAAUAGAACGAGUGCAGUAUAAAAGAAUACACUUUGUACAGAUUGUCGAUGGUCUGUAACCCGAUGUACUAAAUACUAAUAAGACAAGCACGUGCAAUCGUAUAAUGAUAAUUUUUCUAGGUCUGUUGGAUUUCAUGUUGAAUCAUCGUUUUUACCUGAAUAACAAUCAUUUGUUACGGGUCAAAUUAGUCAAAGAAAUAGUUCCUUCCGACAACUCCAUUGUUUCACUUUAAAAUGUUGACAUAUUUUUCCGUAUCAUAAUAAAGAUAAUAAUAAAUUAAUAAUAACAAUAACUAAACAUGAUAAGCAGGUAAGUCACCCAUCUCCAGUUAAGGGACAAGAGGAAUGAAACAUGUUUGAGUAGGGUAAAACAAAAAAACCUAUUAAUCCGUCAGAUCACAAAUAUAUUUUCCCCCGAAAUGUUAAACUUAAUUCGCGUUACACUUGUGAAGCGGUCUUUCUCUUGGAUGAGAGUACUUGGAUUAGAUCUCCGACAGGUUGAAAUGAACGAACUUUUUUUGAGAGUGGUUCCUACUCUGCUAAAAACGCAGUCGAAAUUAAAUAAUUCAGGAAUGGUUAAAUAUCAUUUUCUUGUUAUCUUUCGAAUAAGCAAGCUAGUCUGAUUUUAACAAAGCUGGAUGUAUUCAUAUAAGAUUAGCAUAUUUACUCUGUAUGACAUACGCUCAUUAAUCAGCAGCCGUAAAUAUACUACUGUUGAAAUAUUAAAUAAUUUAUUUUCUUUUUUAUUAGGGGCAUAGGUCUAUUCUAAGACUAAGAAAAUAAUUGUGAACAAAGCCUUUAAAACUUUAAAGAAAUAGCAUGGGUUCCGGUGGAAGUAGAAAGGUAAGUGCACAAAUUCAUCGAUGGGUAAAACUACAAAAACAAGAGUAUGUUCGAAGAAAAUAUUCCACAGUCAAAGAAUGUGUUGAAAAGCUCAAACUCAAUACUCCUCUUAGCUAACUAACAUAAUAGAAAUCAAAAAAUCUUUCAUGUAGUUUGAUGCAGUCAAUACAGCGUCUUUAGUCAUAUCCAUAAAUCAACGCCACUUUGCUUAUUUGAAUAUUAUACUAAAGAAAUCGGAUACGGGUCACGGAAAUUACAUUAAAAUGAUAGGGAAUUUUGAAAAAAAUGUCUGUUUUAAUUUUAAUUUUAGUGAUAGACAGGUUGCCGGGGCAGAAAAUGAAUAUACACAACAAUAUACACUAUUUAAACGAAACAUAAUGACUGUUGUUGCAAAAAUACAGGUUCCUGAGCUGUUUUAAAAAUCGAAGCGAGAGGCUUUUAACAUUGCAGUGUAAAAUACAGGCUAAAAUGGCUGAAACGUCAAAUUUGCAAACUUCGUGUUGAAAAUUGGCUUACAAGGUCAUUACAAAAACAGGUUGCCGGGGUGAAAUAUGAAACUUGAAUUUCCAAAGAAUAAGCAAGUCCAAACCUUGUAUGUGUAGUCGUUGAACUCUAGGUUCCCACGUAAAAUUAAAAUGUCACUAUUUCAAGAAGAAUAAACUCACGAAAGCACGAAAAAUUCACUAAAUUCGCGUUCAUUGUUUUGAUUUUGACCGCCUGACAACUUUACGGAAAUAUCAAAGUGAUUAUAAAUAAGGACUCUGUGACGGGCAACUUAUAAUAUCAAUUUUAAAGAUUUUAAUGAUAUCAAGCCUAUCAAGCCAGUCCAGUUCAAAGUACUAUCACGUGGUACAAUUCUUAUUUACAUAUUAUGAAUAUUAAUUAGCAAAACCACUACUAAUUUCUGGCUAUGUGUUGCUUAGUCUUUAGUUUUCUAUUUUGUGUCUUGUGUACUAUCAUUUGUCUGUUUGUCUGUUUAUCUUUUAGCCAUGGCGUUGUCAGUUUACUUUCGAUCUAUGAGCUUGACUGUCCCUCUGGUAUCUUUCGCCCCUCUUUUAAUGUAAUCGUACCCAGUUCUCGGGUUCCCUGUAGUCAACACGGAUUUUAUUCCUAUAAUAUCGACCGCCUCUCUUAUGCAGAAAGGAGAGCGUGAUUCUGCUGUUAGAUAAGUAUCUCGUUUGACCAAGUUUUAAGAAAGGAGUAGGUGCAGUAAGACCCCUUUUUGGCCCCCUAAUAUAGCAGUUUUACAAAAUUGUUAAAAUGUAAACUUUUAGCUAUUUAUUGGAAAGAAGAAUACUUCUGUAAUAUAAAUAUGAGAUUUUUUUGACAAUUCAGUACACAUGUAUCGGGUACUAUCAUCAUUAAGUCAUACUAAAUUACUGAAAUAGUUAUCAAAGGUACCAGGAUUAUAAUUUAGUACGCCAGACGCGCGUUUCGUCUACAUAAGACUCAUCAGUGACGUUCAUAUCAAAAUAUUUAUAAAGCCAAACUAGUACAAAGUUGAAGAGCAUUGAAGAUACGAAAUUCCAAAUCUUCACAAUUUUAGCAUUUGAGUUACUUUUAGACGGAUUCCGUAUUAAACGAAACUGGCCGCGUUUGUGUUCAUUCUUAAUAUUUAAAUAUAAGUUGUAUUCGAUGAUAAUAGAUAACAUAUAUAAAGGUUGAGGUGGAACACUAAUGCUGCCAUUUUCAUUUUUGACAAAAAUCAUCUGAAAAGUGACAUUUUUUGGGCAUAUUUGAUAGAUUUUUAAUAUUUAAGCUUAACUUUGAGCAUCUUUAAUGAUUAAGUGAAUUCAAAUCUUUCACAUAAACUAAUCGAAUCUACGUAAGUGUCCAAAAUCUUCCAUCAGAUGAACUUGAAGUUUUAGGCCGGACCUACUCCUUUGCUGUUUCUGGAAUUAACUCAGGGGUAUGAACGUUAAAAGUUCAAUGUUUCUAAGUGUUAUCUUAUAAUUUGUACACUUAUAAUCACUUCUGAACCUUUUGUCAAAUUUAAUGCUAUAUAAUUAGAAUUUAAUGAAACGUAACAAGAUAUCAUAUGUAUUUGACAAUACUCAUCAUGAGAAUUUGAAUAAUUUUUAAUUUUCGAGCUUGACGAAACCUAAUUUAUUUGAAACAAAUCGACCUUACAUGCCAACUUGACCAUGACCUUUAAUAGAUGGUCAAAUUUCAUUAUACAUUAUAGCUGUUCGUUCCGCAUAUAUUCACAAAAUUCUGAUCUUAUUACUUCAUCUAACAAGGUAUUUAUACAUAUUAUACUAGUAUAUGUAUUAAAUUUUUAUUUCAACUAUAUUGUCUUGCAACACUAAAAAUUCAAUUGCUUCUUUUAUUGCUGGUUAGUGUUUAGUUUAAUGUGUGGCCUGUUGUGUAAUGUAUUUGCAUGGGUCACCACAAGAUAUUUGAGGGUGGUGUUCUUCCGUUUUUGAAUUUAAGCACCACCCUUGGAUUCCAAGUAUCACUCUUGAAUUUCUGGCAGAAGAUCAUUUCUCAUAUAAUUUCAAAACUACAGGUUCAUUUGUCAGGACUGACAUUGAGAGUGAUGCUUGAAAUCUAAAGGUGGUACUACUUCUAGUAAAUAUUAGCUUGAAAGGCGAUAUUUGAAAAAACAAACUGUUAUAAAAUUACGAUGGAAUAAAUUCAUUUUUGUUUAUAUGUAUUCAAGAGCUUUGCAAAAAAGUAAUGCCUAAAAUUAAUAUUUUUCAGCGGUUAGAAUAUUUAUUUUAUUUGCUUCAUUGUAAACUUUUCUUUGGUGAUCCAUGCUUGUAAAGAAACAUUAAAUAAAUGUAAUGUUAUGAAUGUUUUAGGCUACACCAACCGUUUUAAAGGGAUACAGACGAGAGAUAAGCAAUGUAUCGUUGAUGAAAGUAAGGCAGAAAAAGGUCGUACGGAUCGAUGAAGGUGGAGUAGAGACAACAUCUAAUACAACCAACGCCAAAGUAGCUGUGUCUUCUACCAGUAAGAUGGAAAAUGAUCUCUCAACUAGUUCAGAGGAGAAAACUGAAACUGAAGAUAUGGAAGCUUUAAAACCCGUACUGGAGAUGGAAGAGGGGGAAACAAAG
rnacentral:lncRNA from 1 species